rnacentral:rRNA from 1 species
UACAGAGGGUGCGAGCGUUGUUCGGAAUUAUUGGGCGUAAAGCGCUGGUAGGUGGCUUGUUAAGUCGCGUGUGAAAGCCUCCAGGCUCAACCUGGAAAGUGCGCGCCGAAACUGGCGAGCUUGAGUGUCGGAGAGGAUCGCGGAAUUCCGGUGUAGAGGUGAAAUUCGUAGAUAUCCGGAGGAACACCGAGGCGAAGGCGGCGAUCUGGAAGACCACUGACACUGAGCAGCGAAAGCGUGGGGAGCAACAGGG